UACGUAGGUCCCGAGCGUUGUCCGGAUUUAUUGGGCGUAAAGCGAGCGCAGGUGGCUUAUUAAGUCUGGUGUAAAAGGCAGUGGCUCAACCAUUGUAUGCAUUGGAAACUGGUAGACUUGAGUGCAGGAGAGGAGAGUGGAAUUCCAUGUGUAGCGGUGAAAUGCGUAGAUAUAUGGAGGAACACCAGUGGCGAAGGCGGCCUACUGGACGGUGACUGACGCUGAGGCUCGAAAGCGUGGGGAGCAAACAGG
rnacentral:rRNA from 1 species